CGGUGUUAAAGGGUUUCUUUUUCUUUUUUUUUGGUUCACUUCUUCGGUUCUGUUUAUUGUUUAUAUAUAAUAUAUAAUAAUAGGUUUUUCAAUACAUGUUUUGCUGAUACAAUAAUAUAUUUAUAUUACACGCAUAUUAAGCAUAUAUAAAUGAAAAUUAUAGGCUUAGCUUAAUAAUUAAGCUUUGCCUAUAAUAAAAUGAAUAGACCACAUCAAAAAUUAAAUAGAUAUGUAAAAAGUGCUAAUAUAUAUAUAUAUAUAGUUUUAUAUGUACAAAAUUCGUAACACAUAUAUACAUAGAGUUUUUUCUCCCAAUGUCUACAAACGAUACAAAUGAUCAUCGUUGUUUGGAAUAAGAGUUUCGUUGCCGUUGAAGUGAAACUCGCCGUUUGGAUUGAUCACUUGGUCGCGGAGAAAUCCUGCUAUCGACUCUUGGAUAGCUUUGAUUCGGUCUUGUUGUAGGACCUUUUCCCUCAGCCAUUCCGUCUUUAAUUUGAAAUAAAUAAAAAAGGUAUUAGUUAUCUAAGUUAUUCAAUAUAAUUCAGGGGAUAAUGAAAAGAGACAUGCAACGUACUCUGAGCGUCUCUGUGGGUGUUUGAUUGACUUGUGCCAUCAUGAAUUUGCACACGUAAUAUGCACAUAGAUUGUUCCCCCCUUCUUGUCUUAAACACCACUGUACGAUAUAUAUAUAAAAAUAUUCACGACCACGACAAUAAGAAGGCUAAAAGUUAGCGAAAGUUUGUUAGCUAGUAGAACUUACUUGUGGAUGUAUUAUGUUAAGCGGCGCUUUACAUCUACUGAGAUGUUCACGGUCAAUGAAUCUUUCCCAAACCCUAUACACAGCCAUUGUAUAUCGUGAACUAAUAAUUACAGAGUCAUAUUAUGAUAUUUUUGUAGCUG
rnacentral:lncRNA from 1 species